rnacentral:rRNA from 1 species
GGACCCGCACAAGUAGUGGAGCAUGUGGUUUAAUUCGAAGAUACGCGCAGAACCUUACCAACACUUGACAUGUUCGUCGCGACUCUAAGAGAUUAGAGUUUUCGGUUCGGCCGGACGAAACACAGGUGCUGCAUGGCUGUCGUCAGCUCGUGUCGUGAGAUGUUGGGUUAAGUCCCGCAACGAGCGCAACCCUCACUUUUAGUUGCCAUCAUUUAGUUGGGCACUCUGAAAGAACUGCCAGUGAUAAGCUGGAGGAAGGUGGGGAUGACGUCAAGUCCUCAUGGCCCUUACGUGUUGGGCUACACACGUGCUACAAUGGCAUUUACAAUAGGAAGCAAGACGGCGACGUUAAGCAAAUCCUAAAAAAAUGCCUCAGUUCGGAUUGUACUCUGCAACUCGAGUACAUGAAGCUGGAAUUACUAGUAAUCG